rnacentral:rRNA from 1 species
AUUACAAGCCAGCCACAUCCCAGUUUUAUUCUGGUUAGAUAAUGAGAGCGGUUCCAGCGGCGGCGACUGGGCUCGACUGUGUGAUGGUCAACGCCUCAAUGGGGCAGCCGGGAUGGCGUGGUGAGCGUCGGCUGGCCUCGGUCGCUGUGGUGGAUGAUCGGAAGCAUAGUUUGCGGAGGCGGCGCUAUUGUGGCAGUGGCGGUCACCUCAGAUCCUCCAUGGCUGGCGCGACUCCCGUGACUUCCUCUCCCUCGGCUCGUAAGGUUCCCGUUCCUUCCAUCCCCCAACUCUCUUUUUUCAUUGUCUUUGAUUCCUCCCUCUGAAUGCUGACCCCAUUAUGGAGGAGGCCACCACGCCAUGAGCCCCAGGACUGACAUCGGAUUGAUUCGGGGGUGUGAGAAACUGCUGCAUUGGCCUCGCGGUUCGGCCGUGUACGGUCUGGCGGCGGACGACAGCGUCGUAGCGGUAUGACGCCGGGCGGCCGGGGGACCAUUUGGAGCUGAAGCGGUGGGUUAGAGGAGUGCCAGAUUGGAUAGGAUACAUGGCCUUCAUUUUUGCAACAUGGAUUUGUUAGUGUUCGUAACUUUCCCAAUUUUCUGAUGUUGAUUUCCGAGAUCUGGAGAGUUUGAUCUAAACUAAAGAAUAAUUUACCUGGCCCAAUAAAUUCCCCGAUGCAGGGUGUAGCUCUGUUACAGACUACCAGCUCAUACCUUAAAUACAAGUAUGUUGAUCAAAUCCUGUUUUUACUUUAUCCGCCUCAUUCUUUGUUUGGGCACCUCUCUAUAUAGAUUCAUCUAUGUGUUUGAUUGUUGUAUUCACAGAAACAAUUGUGUACGAGAGAUUAAUUUAUGCGUCGUUUGAAAUUCAAUUUUAGGGCUAGUAAGAAAAGGCAUUUUUUUAGUACUUAUCAGUGC